ensembl:lincRNA
AUGGAACACAACCUGGAAAACAUCACUGAAGGAGGCAGGAUUUCCUCUCCCAUGAAGCCUGGUGACAGUAUCUUUACUGUGAAAUCUCUAGUGUGGCCUUUAAAUAUACUUGGAAACAGAGGUAAUUCUCUGAGGGGUGAAGAUAAGUCUGCAACCUGGAGAUGGAAGAAGAGGACACUGAAUUCAGAAGAAUCUUCUAAAAGACUGAAACCAAAAAAGAGAGAAUUAUUUCACAAAAGGAGCCCGGGACAUGAUUUUCCUUGUGAGAGUUUCUAUGGGAUCGCAAUGAGCCCCUAAUGCUUUAUUUAAUAGAGUUUUUUAAAAAAUCCCACUUCUAGAUUUCCUAUUUAUCCACCCUUUCAUUCACAGAAUGUAUGUUUUUUUGGUCUUUACUGUGCCAAGCAUUGUUUUGGGAUCAGAGAAAGGAAUGAUGAUCCCAAAAUAGCCACAAUUACAUUUCAGAGCAAAGGUACAAGUUGGAGUUUAUGAAAUCAGAUUCCAGAACAUCACGAGAAACCAGAGUAGCCUCAUGGAGCAGAAGGUGAAGGUGAAUUAUCUUUGACUCUGGUAAAAUUUCUAUUUCUGUAGAGUCAGCAUAUGUAACGACAUCUAUUGUUGGUGAUUCGCCUGUUUUCUUUCUCUUUUAGUUUUGGGUCAGUUUUUAAGGUUUUACUCCAUCAUUUCUUAUUCACAGAGGAUUUAGUUUGUGUGGGUUUAAAGUGUAAGAUGAUAUUUUUCUGGAAGGAAUUGCCCUGGGCUGGUAAAGAAUGUCACAAUUCAUAACACUACCGCCUAUAUCUUUCUCCCCAUUUUAAAAUUUGCUUUACUGUUAUUUCUCUGACCUGCCUCCACUCUGUUUCAGAUUUGUAUACUCAUGUUUCAUGUAUCAGUGAUGAUUCCAAUUACACGCUAGGUAACAAGAGUUUAAUAAAAUGUGGCAAUAAAUUGUGGAAAGACAUCAUGCAUGUGAAAAAAAAAAAGUGUAUUAAGAAAUGUGUUCCAGGUAGAGCUUCCAGUAUUAAAUGACUAAUCACAUCCACACACAUAUACAAAGUGAAGGUUUCAUUUAGUGAAAUUUGGCCUUUCAAAACUAGAAGGCCAAAUGGUGCCUUCUAAGUAGUUUUCUAGUCUGUCUGCAGCACGUGGCUGUUGCUUCUUUUUACUGAGAACUUUUUAGAUAGUCUUCCAUAGCCCUUCAGCUGAAAGAAGUUGGGAAAUCUAGUUCAAAGCUCGCAUUAUUUUGAUUUAAAAUAGCAAAUGGGAAUAAAAAGCAAUAAUUUAUACCCAGUAGAGCCUAGUGGUCAUAUGACUAGAAUUGAAUCCAGGCAGUUCCUCUUGGUAGAUAUGUGAUGAACUGGGCCAGCAUCUUACAAGCUAUUGGCAAAACCAGAAUUAUAAUAUCUCCUUUACUGAGAUAUGGUGGAAGAUCAAUAUUUUUUUUUUGAAAUGUAAAAUAUUAAGUCCAAUGUGGGCCAUGGUAUAAGCACUCAAUAAAUAUAUUAUUAUGAAAUGAAAGUUUAAUGCAAAGGUUUGAAAAAGUAUAGCAACUCUAGAACAAAACAAAAUAGGUUAUGUGGGGGCAGAGAUGCUGUCCUGAUUUUUUAUUUCACUGUUACUCUCAGGUUACGCUUUAUAAGAUCUUCUCCAUCAGCUGUAGUAUCAUUUGAGUUCACUUCCACUCGAUACAUCUUCACUAAGAACUGCUAUGAAGAGUCCUAAGUUUCAGCAACAGCUUGCUGAGAUAGGAAUCAUGCAUAUAACUCUUUCCUGUCCAUUUCAGUUGAAAGCAAACAUUCAGAAAACAUAGGCAUUAAGGAAACUGUUUGCUGAUGACCAGGUUUAUUUCACUACGCAUGUUACCAGGACUAUUCCAAGGGCCCGUAAAAGAGCCAGUGGUGCGUGUGCUCUAUCUGUGGAGGAGUGUGUCAGAGGGAAAGGCAUGUGGAUUACUGGCUCAGAGAGCCCAUCAUUUUCUCACUGUGGGAUGCUGAGAAGUUUUUAAAUUCCUCUGUACUUCUCUGUUCUCCUAUGUAAAAUGGCAAUAUACAUGACAGGGCACAAUAAGAUCUAGAGAACACGUGUUUUAAAAUGUCUAGGACAAAGCUUGGCAAAUGAUAAUCAUUCAAUAAAGGCUGCUGCUGCUGCUGCUGCUGCUAAGUCGCUUCAGUCGUGUCCGACUCUGUGCGACCCCAUAGAUGGCAGCCCACCAGGCUCCCAUCCCUGGGAUUCUCCAGGCAAGAACACUGGAGUGGGUUGCCAUUUCCUUCUCCAAUGCAGAAAAGUGAAAAGUGAAAGUGAAGUCACUCAGUCGUGCCCAAUUAGUAGCAGCCCCAUGGACUGCAGCCUACCAGGCUCCUCUGUCCAUGGGAUUCUCCAGGCAAGAGUACUGGAGUGGGGUGCCACUGCCUUCUCCCAAUAAAGGCUAGUUUGUUGGUAUAUUAUUGAUGAUUUGUGGGAAUAAAAUGUCAUUAGAUGGAAAGACUAGAACUGAAGAAUCAGUUAUUUAUAGACAGCCUAACCUUUUGGGGCUUCUCUGUUGGCUCAAACAGUGAAGAAUUUGCCUGCAAUGAGGGAGACCUAGGUUCAAUCUCUGGGUCAGGAAGAUCCCCUGGAGAGGGGAAUGGCUACCCACUCCAGUAUUCUUGCCUGGAGAAUUCCAUGGAAGAGGCGCCUGGUGGGCUGCAGUCCAUGAGGUUGCAAGGAGUGGGACACGACUAAGUGACUAACAUUGUUUCACUUUUCACUAACCUUUAUCUUCAGGGAGGCAAUACAUAAAAAAAGGUUAUUCGUUUUGAAUUUAGAAAGAUUAUGGUGAAGAAUAGAGACAUCAGAGUCUAGGUUUUCUUCAUGAAUACACAAGUAAGAAUAGACGAGGCAGUCCACAAUAAAUGAAAUUGUAAUAUCAGUUGGUAUGCCCAAUAUUUGAUCCUGGUCCAUUGGUAACUUGAUCUUGAAAACGAUGUUUGUUGUAGUUGUUUUUUGAAGACAAUGUUACAUUAAAGAGUUUUAUUCAGGGAUUUGAGGCUCUGUUCUUUAUAUCUGCUCAUGAGUGAUCAUUAUAAGAAUAGUAAGUAUGUCUUUUGGCUUCCCAGGUGGCUCAGUGGUAAAAAAUCCACCUGCCAGUGGGGCAACCAAAGGAGAUGCAGGUUCCAUUCCUGGGUCAGGAAGAUACCCUGGAGGAAGAAACAGCAACCCACUCCAGUAUUUCUGCCAGGAUAACCCCAUGGACAGAGGAGCCUGGCGGGCUACAGUCCAUGGGAUCACAAACAGUUGGACACAACCUAGCAACUGAGCAUGCGUGCACACAAGUAUCUCUUUAGUGCUUACUGUACACUUAGUGUGCUUCCAAGAGCAUGACUUACUUCUCAUAUCAACCCUGUGAAGUGGAGACUAUUGCUCUUACAAUAUUACAUGGAAAAUUAACACUUUUAUUGUUUCUUCCCAAAGAAAGAUGAUCCCCUUUUCCUCAUGGUCCAAGAGAUUUGAGAAAUCAUAGCUUGCUUGGUGUGGAAGAAAAAAGAAAGUACUCAAGACCCUUAGAAGGGAAGAAAACCAGAACUUGGAGAAACUCUUAUGAUGCCUAUAGUACCUACAAUGAUGAUGUGAUAAUAAUAAUAACCACAUCACUAUUAUUAUUAUAAGACAUUUUAUGCAAGUGCUAUGUUUCAUGCGUUUCUGCCUUCUCUAAUGAUACUUUUGGAAUGAGUGAUAUCAGAACAUAUAUUUUUAGAUUAAUACAGGUAUUAUAGUGAACUGAAGUAUUCACUGAAGGCAAGAAUACAUAUCUUAUCUAUCAAUUUAUAUAUAUAUAUAUAUAAAUUUUUGGUUCAUAAUAUCUAUUAAGUUAUAACAAAUGUAAAAAUAUACAUAGGGAAAAGAAUAAUCAGGGAGAAUGAUUCCUGACUGUUUUGGCUCAGAGGCUUAGCUAAACUUUGGGGUGCUAACAUGCUCUUGUCUGGGGUUGAAUUAAUUUAGUGACAUCAAUACUGAAGUUUUAAGUUUCUUAUUUUUAGGAAAGUAUGUCAGCUGAGUGUUUUGAGUUAAUGUCAAUGGGAUUUGGACUUAACCUAGAUUAUGUUUGUUA